CCUGUACACAGGAGAUGCCCACAUCAGAGAAAGGGCCUAAAAGGCAGACAGACAGAUCAGUAGAACCUUUCUUGCCCCACAGGAGUGAGUCAGGGUGGGAUCUGUGCACCCUGCACACUCUGUCCAACCUUGCUUAGGGCCAUCAAGCCAGCACAAGGGCAGGGCCAAGUCCAACCAGGAUAACACGCAGCCUGGCCAUAGCAAUUGGCUCCUAUCCUUUACCCUCAAUCCCAGAGGCAUUAGCAAGAGACAGGGCAUCACCUGUGCCCAGGGAUUGGGCCAUCCCAAUUCAGGGAGCAUAAUUGCUGUUCCAGCCGGGAGAUGCGGAAUGCCAGAUACGAUGAGGACAUGACCAAGAAGCAGAUCCUGGAGAAAGAGAGAUAAGAAGGAUAUCUUAUCUAGGAAAAGGGCAUUUUUAGAGGCUCACCAGAAAUAGGAGUGGGGACUAAGCUACUUCCAGUUGUACUUGGAGGAAUUAGAGACUCUUGCCCUUUAGCUACAUUCAGGCCUGGACAUGUUUGUUCUGAGAGGCCACGUGGGGGUCCUGAGACUCGUCCCCAUGGAGGUGUCCUCAAAGCCCAGCAAGAAUUCUAGGUCCUUAAACUGAGCCCACCCUCCCUCUGACUGGCCACCUUGAUCCCGUGCUUCCUUUUCAAGACCACAGAGAUCAUCCCCUAAGGAGACAGGUCCACAUUCCCCCAGCAAGUGCUGAAGCUGACAGUCAGAACUCAGCCAGCAAAACCAGAGGAAGGUCAUGAGGUAAGGUGAGGGGAAGCCAGGGGCUGGCUGUUCAUGAAACACCCCACCAUGCUCACCGCUCUCCUGGCCCUCAGGCCAAAUUACAGACACGUCUGGGGUUCCAAAAACUGCUCUAAAGGUAGGUAGCAGGAAAGCUGUGGCUCUCCUCUAGUCUAUCUGAUGGCCCUCUCCAAUUCGGUCAGCCCUCCCCCUCCCCAAUCCUGUGCAACUUUUAUUCAACAGUUUCGUAUCCUGCCAGACUUAAUCCUAAAUUACAGGGUUGUAUGAAUAAAAACUGGAGAUAUUUUGUCUUGCUUCAGAAGGGCCUGCCAUGUAGCCUCCAGACUCUGCCCAGGACUUUCAGUUGACCUGGGAACUCCCCACACACAGAGGCCCCUGCCAGACACCCAGAAGUAGGGGGAAGAAAAGCCUGGUCUUUACAAACGUGAUCAUGGACAAGCCCCCUGAGCUCACCAGAGCCUGGAGGCUUCCUGGAGGGAAAGAAGCUGUCGGUGGAGUCCAUGGAUGCCCGAGGGAUACAAGGGAUGUUGUCUGGAAGGGACAGGGACCUGGAGGCAGGGCACACCUUUCUCCACUUCAUCUCAGGGAUGAGGACUUCCUGCAGAGAAGGAGGGAGAAAUCGUCUAUGACCCUUGGGAUCUUACUUGUCCUAAGGGCCCACACUAGGUUUAUCACACCUUCUCCAGAUAUUACCAAUAUGGAAUCCUAGUGAGCAUGAUGUCAGGUACCCACAAGGGGAGAAACCAUUACCAUAGCAACCACAUGUAUCUCUUAUCUGCUCCUUUGCUGUGACCAGCCAUUCUUCCAGGGAACAAUGUCUCCGAAGACUGCUAGUACAGAACCAGAAUGGGAUCUAAGACGCGAGCAAACCCAGGUAUAUGUUCAGAUCUGCUGAGUCCAAGAAAGCUCAGCACAAUAUAAUUUAGAUGGGAUAAGUCCUUCUAAUCUGGACUCUAACCCUAAGGACAUUACUGACCUUGGCAGGGGACACUUAGGAUUCCCACCAACAAAAAUGGGAACAUCACCUUCUAUCCCCUGCAUAGAAGUGUGCAUAUCGUAUGCUUGGCUAAACGCUUAAUGAUUAAUGAAGGAGGCUUCAAACACCCUGGGGUCAUUUCCAUCCGCAUCACUGUUCUAGAAACUCAGCUCUGCCUACCCACAACCCCAGCAGCAAAGGAGACUGCUGGGGCCGCAGCAAAUCUCAAAUGAGUCUGUCUGGGUUCUACAGCGAUACCCUUUGAAGUUCUUCCCUGAGGAUAUCUCUAUCCCCUGGAAGGCCCUCUUGAUCCUGCUAAAGGAAAGAGGGUGGGUCACUGGCUCUCUGUCUGUACAGAAGUGGGAUCCAACCUGGGUGGUGUUCUGGGGGCUGGACAUCUGUUCUGCUCAGAAAGUCCACAGAGCUGCCCAGGACCUAGUGGCUCUACAUGGUAUGGAGCAUGGUGGGUCUAGGGAACCCCCUGGCAGAGCAUGGCCACUGGCUCUUGAACCUGGAGCCCAAGUUCUGCAUUGUAGACCCUCCUGGGAGGCCCUGAAGCCUCAGAGGCAUAGGGUCCCUCA